rnacentral:tRNA from 1 species
GCGGCUCUACUCCAAUCGGCAGAGAGGCCACUUUCAGGAAGUGGUUGUUCCGGGUUCGAAUCCCGGGAGCCGUACCA